GCAGUAGUAGGCUGCGUGCUUGCGCAGCACGCACGGCGGGGGUGGGGCUGUCGUCCGGUGGCGGGCGGGCGGGCAGCUGAGGCUCGGGGCCUGGUCCCCCCAGCACCAUGGCCAAGACCGUGGCGUAUUUCUACGACCCCGAUGUGGGCAACUUCCACUAUGGAGCUGGACACCCAAUGAAACCUCAUCGCCUGGCAUUGACUCAUAGCCUAGUCCUGCAUUAUGGUCUCUAUAAGAAGAUGAUCGUCUUCAAGCCUUACCAGGCCUCCCAGCAUGACAUGUGCCGCUUCCAUUCUGAGGACUACAUCGACUUCCUGCAGAGAGUCAGCCCCACCAAUAUGCAGGGUUUCACCAAGAGCCUUAAUGCCUUCAACGUGGGUGAUGACUGCCCAGUGUUUCCAGGACUUUUCGAGUUCUGCUCCCGUUACACAGGCGCAUCUCUGCAAGGAGCAACACAGCUAAACAACAAGAUCUGUGAUAUUGCCAUCAACUGGGCCGGUGGUCUACAUCAUGCCAAGAAAUUUGAGGCCUCUGGCUUCUGCUAUGUCAAUGACAUAGUAAUUGGUAUCCUGGAGCUGCUUAAGUACCACCCUCGGGUGCUCUACAUUGAUAUCGACAUCCACCAUGGUGACGGGGUUCAGGAAGCCUUCUACCUCACUGACCGGGUCAUGACUGUGUCCUUCCACAAAUACGGAAAUUACUUCUUUCCUGGAACAGGUGACAUGUAUGAAGUUGGAGCAGAGAGUGGCCGCUACUAUUGUCUCAAUGUGCCCUUACGAGAUGGCAUUGAUGACCAGAGUUGCCCACCUUUGGCCCUCUCCCAGGUUACAAGCACCUUUUCCAGCCAGUCAUCAGCCAGGUGGUGGACUUCUACCAGCCGACGUGCAUCGUGCUCCAGUGUGGCGCUGACUCCCUGGGCUGUGAUCGAUUAGGCUGCUUCAAUCUCAGCAUUCGAGGACAUGGGGAAUGUGUUGAAUAUGUCAAGAGUUUCAAUAUCCCUCUCCUGGUACUGGGAGGUGGUGGCUACACUGUCCGAAAUGUUGCCCGGUGUUGGACAUAUGAAACAUCUCUGCUGGUAGAAGAGGCCAUUAGUGAGGAACUUCCCUAUAGUGAAUACUUCGAGUACUUUGCCCCAGAUUUCACACUCCAUCCAGAUGUCAGCACCCGCAUCGAGAAUCAGAACUCACGCCAGUAUCUGGACCAGAUCCGCCAGACAAUCUUUGAAAACUUGAAGAUGCUGAACCAUGCACCCAGUGUCCAGAUUCAUGAUGUCCCGGCAGACCUCCUGACGUAUGACAGGACUGACGAGGCCGACGCUGAAGAGAGAGGUCCCGAGGAGAACUACAGCAGGCCAGAAGCACCCAAUGAGUUCUAUGAUGGCGACCAUGACAACGACAAGGAAAGUGAUGUGGAGAUUUAGAGCAGCAUGGAUGCUGUGUCCCCAAGAGUUCCUUGUCACCUCUGUGGUGGGAAGGAAAGUAUGGUUUCCCCAGGUCUGAACUGGGUACCCCCAGGGUGUUUACUAACUCUGGUGAAGGGUUUGGAAACCAUAUGUGGUUCUAGAAUUAACUCCCCUUUCCCUCAAACUCUCACGGCCUGAUGAUUGUCCCUCUCAGGGAUGAGACAUGGACAGGUCUCUGGAACGUUAUGGGUAAUGAGCCCCAGCAACUGUCCUCAGCCCCUCUUCCCCUCAUUUGUUCCUUCUGUCCUUCCAACACAGAGACUGUUAGAGAUGAAAGUUUGGACGGUACUAAAGUCACCUCUGACUUCCUUCUGGGUUCCCCUACUACAGUUCUUGCUUCCAUGCAAGGUGAACCUGAGGGGAGGAAGGCGUGGCUCUCUGAAACCUUAACUGCAGAUGAAGUACAGUGGCAAGGAGGAGAGGGUGUGAAGCUCUAACUGGCUUUAUGUCCAUUUUACUGUUUUGGAUCUAAUAAACCAAUUGGUUUUUUUUUUUUUUUUGUACCUUUCUGGGAUUUUAAUUCUUGCUAGUUACCGAUGUAUGAUGUGAAAAGGAAACAGAUGAUGAUGUGUAUAAUAAAAUUGUUACCAUUCA